UACGGAGGGUGCAAGCGUUGUCCGGAAUCACUGGGCGUAAAGGGCGCGUAGGCGGCUCAUGAAGGCUGUGGUGAAAGUCCGGGGCUCAACCUCGGAUCGGCCGUGGCGACUCGUGGGCUGGAGCACUGUAGAGGCGGGUGGAAUUCCGGGUGUAGCGGUGGGAAUGCGCAGAUAUCAGGAGGAACACCGAUGGCGAAGGCAGAUCUCUGGGCCGUAACUGACGCUGAGGAGCGAAAGCAUGGGGAGCGAACAGG
rnacentral:rRNA from 1 species